ACAGUGUUCUUGCGAGUUACAAUUACGCGUCCGGUUUGGCGGCAACUUCAAAGAGUGGACAUAUGGUUGCUCCUUCAGCCACAGCAAAGAUCCCGAACCACGUGCAGUCAGCAGAGUUACAGCGUCUGGUUACCGUCUUGCAGUUACGAUACAGAAUAUGUGCACAUAGCUUUCAAUGACCAGACGAAAAAAGAAUUCAUUUCAAGUAUGUUGAGAAGAAAACGUAAGUAAAGCACAAUAUUUACAUUCAUAAUACAUUUUAUUCCGCAGGCUCUAUUGUAAAGUUAAACUCUAGCUGCGUAUAGGCUGCUAUUAUCCAUUAUA